rnacentral:rRNA from 1 species
AAGCGGUGGAGCAUGUGGUUAAUUCGAAGCAACGCGAAGAACCUUACCAGGCCUUGACAUGCAGAGAACUUUCCAGAGAUGGAUUGGUGCCUUCGGGAACUCUGACACAGGUGCUGGCAUGGCUGUGUCAGCUCGUGUCGUGAGAUGUUGGGUUAAGUCCGUAACGAGCGCAACCCUUGUCCUUAGUUACCAGCACGUUAUGGUGGGCACUCUAAGGAGACUGCCGGUGACAAACCGGAGGAAGGUGGGGAUGACGUCAAGUCAUCAUGGCCCUUACGGCCUGGGCUACACACGUGCUACAAUGGUCGGUACAAAGGGUUGCCAAGCCGCGAGGUGGAGCUAAUCCCAUAAAACCGAUCGUAGUCCGGAUCGCAGUCUGCAACUCGACUGCGUGAAGUCGGAAUCGCUAGUAAUCGUGAAUCAGAAUGUCACGGUGAAUACGUUCCCGGGCCUU